GCGAACGCUGGCGGCGUGCUUAACCCAUGCAAGUCGAGCGGAAAGGCCCUGCUUUUGUGGGGUGCUCGAGUGGCGAACGGGUGAGUAACACGUGAGUAACCUGCCCUUGACUUUUGGAUAACUUCAGGAAACUGGGGCUAAUACCGGAUAGGAGCUCCUGCUGCAUGGUGGGGGUUGGAAAGUUUCGGCGGUUGGGGAUGGACUCGCGGCUUAUCAGCUUGUUGGUGGGGUAGUGGCUUACCAAGGGUUUGACGGGUAGCCGGCCUGAGAGGGUGACCGGCCACAUUGGGACUGAGAUACGGCCCAGACUCCUACGGGAGGCAGCAGUGGGGAAUAUUGCACAAUGGGCGGAAGCCUGAUGCAGCAACGCCGCGUGCGGGAUGACGGCCUUCGGGUUGUAAACCGCUUUCGCCUGUGACGAAGCGUGAGUGACGGUAAUGGGUAAAGAAGCACCGGCUAACUACGUG
rnacentral:rRNA from 1 species